rnacentral:rRNA from 1 species
CUUUCAGUGGGGAAGAAAUUCUCAAGGCUAAUAACCUCGAGCGUUGACGCUACCCACAGAAGAAGCACUGGCUAACUCUGUGCCAGCAGCCGCGGUAAUACAGAGAGUGCAAGCGUUAAUCGGAAUUACUGGGCGUAAAGCGCGCGUAGGUGGAUAUUUAAGUCGGAUGUGAAAGCCCCAGGCUCAACCUGGGAACUGCAUCCGAUACUGAGCAUCUCGAGUAUAGUAGAGGGAAGUGGAAUUUCCGGUGUAGCGGUGAAAUGCGUAGAUAUCGGAAAGAACAUCAGUGGCGAAGGCGGCUUCCUGGACUAAUACUGACACUGAGGCGCGAAAGCGUGGGGAGCAAACAGGAUUAGAGACCCUGGUAGUCCACGCCGUCAACGAUGAGAACUAGCUGUUAGAAGGUUUACUUUCUAGUAGCGAAGUUAACACGUUAAGUUCUCCGCCUGGGGAGUACGACCGCAAGGUUAAAACUCAAAGAAAUUGACGGGGGCCCGCACAAGCGGUGGAGCAUGUGGUUUAAUUCGAUGCAACGCGAAGAACCUUACCUACCCUUGACAUCCUUGGAACUUGUCAGAGAUGACUUGGUGCCUUUUGGAACCGAGUGACAGGUGCUGCAUGGCUGUCGUCAGCUCGUGUCGUGAGAUGUUGGGUUAAGUCCCGUAACGAGCGCAACCCUUAUCCUUAGUUGCCAGCGGUUUGGCCGGGAACUCUAAGGAGACUGCCAGUGAUAAACUGGAGGAAGGUGGGGAUGAUGUCAAGUCAUCAUGGCCCUUAUGGGUAGGGCUACACACGUGCUACAAUGGGCAUUACAAAGGGUUGCCAAACCGCGAGGUGGAGCUAAUCCCAAAAAGUUGCUCGUAGUCCGGAUUGGAGUCUGCAACUCGACUCCAUGAAGCUGGAAUCGCUAGUAAUCGCAAAUCAGAAUGUUGCGGUGAAUACGUUCUCGGGCCUUGUACACACCGCCCGUCACACCAUGGGAGUGAAUUGUACCAGAAGCGGGUAGGUUAACCUUUUGGAGGCCGCUCACCACGGUAUGAUUCA